UACGAGGGGGGCAAAUGUUGUUCGGAAUCACUGGGCGUAAAGGGCGCGUAGGCGGGUUUUUAAGUCAGGUGUUUAAUCCCGGGGCCCAACCCCGGACCGGCACUUGAAACUGGGAAUCUUGAAUAGGGGAGAGGUCAGUGGAAUUGGAGGUGUAGCGGUGGAAUGCGUAGAGAUCUCCAAGAACACCAGUUGCGAAGGCGGCUGACUGGACCCAUAUUGACGCUGAGGCUCGAAAGCAUGGGGAGCAAACAGG
rnacentral:rRNA from 1 species